GACGAACGCUGGCGGCGUGCUUAACACAUGCAAGUCGAACGGAAAGGCCCUGCUUUUGUGGGGUGCUCGAGUGGCGAACGGGUGAGUAACACGUGAGUAACCUGCCCUUGACUUUGGGAUAACUUCAGGAAACUGGGGCUAAUACCGGAUAGGAGCUCCUGCUGCAUGGUGGGGGUUGGAAAGUUUCGGCGGUUGGGGAUGGACUCGCGGCUUAUCAGCUUGUUGGUGGGGUAGUGGCUUACCAAGGCUUUGACGGGUAGCCGGCCUGAGAGGGUGACCGGCCACAUUGGGACUGAGAUACGGCCCAGACUCCUACGGGAGGCAGCAGUGGGGAAUAUUGCACAAUGGGCGGAAGCCUGAUGCAGCAACGCCGCGUGCGGAAUGACGGCCUUCGGGUUGUGAACCGCUUUCGCCUGUGACGAAGCGUGAGUGACGGUAAUGGGUAAAGAAGCACCGGCUAACUACGUG
rnacentral:rRNA from 1 species